rnacentral:snRNA from 1 species
GGGGGACGGACUGGGAACGG